UACGGAGGGUGCAAGCGUUGUCCGGAUUCAUUGGGUUUAAAGGGCGCGCAGGCGGGCGAUUAAGUCAGGGGUGAAAGACGGUUGCUCAACAAUCGCAGUGCCUUUGAUACUGGUUGUCUUGGGUGACCUUGAGGUAGGCGGAAUGGGUGGUGUAGCGGUGAAAUGCAUAGAUACCACCCAGAACUCCGAUUGCGAAGGCAGCCUACUGGAGGUUCACCGACGCUCAGGCACGAAAGCGUGGGGAUCAAACAGG
rnacentral:rRNA from 1 species